AUGUUAAUGACACCUCUGUGCUUUUGUUGUUGUUUAAUCAAAAAGCCCUGGCUUCUCCUGCCUGCUGUCCCCCUCGAAUCUGUUCUGUGCAAGUUCUUAACUGAUCUCUGCAGAUCUUCUGGGUGCUGGUGGUUUUCUUGCCCAUGUAGGCCAGGGACGAGUGUAGAUGAAAAGGUUAUGGAAAACAACAUGGGGCAGAAUUCAGACGUGAAGGUAUUGACGGAGUGGUUUUCAGCCUUGGGUCCCCAGAUGUUCUUAGACUACAACUCCCAGAAGUCUUCACCACUAGCUAUGCUUGCCAGGAUUCCUGGGAGAUGUGGUCGAAGAACAUCUGGGGAUCCAAGUUUAAGAACCAGUGUACUGGAGGACAGAUCCUGAAGCUGAAGCUCCAAGUGUAGUGGAGGACAGAUCCUGAAGCUGAGGCUCCAAUCCUUUGGCCAUCUCAUGAGAAGAGAAGACUCCCUGGAAAAGACCCUGAUAUUGGGAAAGUGGGAAGGCAAGAGGAGAAGGGGAUGACAGAGGAUGAGAUGGCUGGACAGUGUCAUCGAAGCAACCAACAUGAAUUUGAUCCAGCUCUGGGAGGCCGUGGAGGACAGGUGGGCCUGGCGUGCUGUGGUCCGUGGGGUCACGAAGAGUCGGACAUGACUAAACAACAAGUACUGGAGGAAUCUCUGGGUUGGAAUCUCCCAGUCCUGGCAGGGAGAAAACUCUGGGUUGGAAUCUCCCAGUCCUGGCAGAUGUUAAGUGGUGACUGUUUGGAGGAGAAAGCUGGCCAAAGGGCUAGGAGUGAUAAGGGAGUGCUGCUGUGAAGUUGCAAAGAAUUGGGACUGCCUUUAGAAGGACCAUCAAGGAAUGCGUCAAGCCAUUGGUUCAGUUUUUGCAAAAGAACCCACAUGUGCUGUAUGUUACAUCUCUACUUCUUAAUUCUAAAUAGAGGAGACAUCAUGAUUACAGUGGGACAGUGUGAGGGGGAAGGCACCCCGUACAUGCUCAGAGUCCUUUUGCUUCAUUGUAGAACUCCGGUUCAUAGUUCACUGGGAGAGAACCUUGGAAACCCAGUGCCUGAAUGGGCAUUAUUGAGUUAUAUAAACCAAUGCUUUGAUGUGGGAAAAUCACAAAGCUGUAAGUUGGAAGGAAUAUCCAAGGUCAUGUAAUCCAACCUCCUUCUGAAGCGGGAAAUCACAGCGAAAGCAACCUCACUAGGUCCAACAUCUGCUUAAAAACCUCCAGUGAAGGGGGAGAGAACCUUGGAAACCCAGUGCCUGAAUGGGCAUUAUUGAGUUAUAUAAACCAAUGCUUUGAUGUGGGAAAAUCACAAAGCUGUAAGUUGGAAGGAAUAUCCAAGGUCAUGUAAUCCAACCUCCUUCUGAAGCGGGAAAUCACAGCGAAAGCAACCUCACUAGGUCCAACAUCUGCUUAAAAACCUCCAGUGAAGGAGAGUAGAGCGCCUUCUGAAGUGGGAAAUCACAGCGAAAGCAACCUCACUACGUCCAACAUCACCUUAAAAACCUCCAGUGAAGGAGAGUCCUUGAUGUAUUCUGAUUCACUACGGAGGAACUUUUACAGUCAUGAAGUUCUACCUACUGUAAGUUCAGCUUUCUAUGUUCCUAAUAUUUCAGGUCUGUUUCGUACGCAAUGCGUCACGCUGAGGCCAAGACCAAAUGGGUUUGUGCUACAUACAGUAAGUGUCAUCGAUAGGGGUACACUUUUCAGAUUUUCAGGUUUCCCAUAAUUCUCUAUUCGGGGAGUUUGGUCUGACAGACAGACAUCUAAAUGUGACUCACCUGGGAGAAAGGCCUGGAUAAGGCUCUGAGCCCUGGCUAGGCCUAGCUGAGCCUAAACUUUCUUGUCUUGCCCCAGAGCUAUCUGGAAGUUUCCUGAACAGGAAGAGGUGGAGCUAGGCCUAGCGAAGCCUUAGAGUCUUCGAGCUGAGCCACAUUUAAAUGUCCAAAAGAUGUCUGUCAGCCGACUAGAGUGGUCUUAAGUGACCAGAUAGGCUGGAUAAGGCUCUGAGCCCUGGCUAGGCCUAGCUGAGCCUAAACUUUCUUGUCUUGCCCCAGAGCUAUCUGGAAGUUUCCUGAACAGGAAGAGGUGGAGCUAGGCCUAGCGAAGCCUUAGAGUCUUCGAGCUGAGCCACAUUUAAAUGUCCAAAAGAUGUCUGUCAGCCGACUAGAGUGGUCUUAAGUGACCAGAUAGGCGGGAUAUGAGUUGAGCCACAUUUAGAUGUCCAAAAGAUGUCUGUCAGGUAGAACUAGAAUACAGAAUUAUGGGAUUUGUAGUCUUAAGAAAUUUUUAAAAAACACACCUAUUCCUAGUAAUUCAUUUAUAUUUAUCUGGAACUGAACUAGAAUACAGAAUUAUAGGAUUUGUAGUCUUAAGAAAUUUUUUAAAAACACACCUAUUACUAGUAAUUCAUUUAUAUUUAUCUGGAACUAAGUUCCCUCGAACUCAAUAGGGUUUCUGAGUAAGCAAGCAUAGGAUUCUAGUUUAAACGAGGAAGUAGGGGUCAAGAAUGCCUUAAUCAUCGUACCUGCAAAGAUACUCGCUCAACUGCUGUUACCGCUUCUUUCGCUCUGUGGUCUUUGGAUGUUGUUUGAUAUCCUCUGUAAUAGCCGGUAAAAAUUCCGUCCAUCUUGCAUGACUAUGUGGCUGCGGAGAAAACCCUUUGAAAGCAAUGAGGAAGGGAGCGAAAAGGAGAUGAGGAAAUUGAUUAGAUGCUGCAGGCCAUUGUUGGCUGAGAACAACCACAUAAUUUGUUCCUCUGCCUUCAACCUGAAGAUUAGAUUUUAUUUAUCCAGACCUUCCAUCUAAAUUUGGGAUUCUAAUAAAAAUAAAUGAGCAGGAGUUUUGGCA
ensembl:lncRNA